UGCAUGUUGGUUGUUUUCAGUCUUUGUGUGUAGUUUUUCUCUGAUUCUGUUGUAUUUCUUUGUUCUACUGUGAAUGCCUGCAAGACAAUGAAUCUCGGUGUAGUCCUUGGUAACACACAUGUACAUUGAAAAUGCAGGUACUUUGGACUUUGAACCCUCCUUAGUCUCCUUGUUUGACCAAGCAAUGCUUUGGACAAGUAUCAAAUUGAUUCAGAAAUCAGUGGUGCAAUUGCUUUUGGAGUCCUUGAGUAGGAUUCCCUAAAGAUUAACUUGCAAACUGAGUCAGUAGUAAGGAAGGCAAAUGCAAUGUUAGCAUUCAUUUUGAGAGGAGUAGAAUAUAAAAGCAAGGAUGCAAUUUUGAGGCUUUAUAAGGCAGUGGUCAGACCACACUUGGAGUAUUGUGAAAAGAUGUGCUGACAUCAGAGAGGGUCCACAGGAGGUUCAUGAGAAUGAUUCAGCAAUAAAAGGAUUAAGAAGCUGUUGAUCUGAGAGAGGCCGCAGUCCACUGACAGAGCCUUGUUCUGGUUCCAGUUGAUGUUAAUGGCUUCGGUGCAGUAUGUGCUUUCAUGGAAUGCUGUGCACACCCCUUGUUCAAGAACGAUGAAUCCAAAGAAACUAUACAUCAAGAUGUAACAAAGAGACAGACAAAGGCAGAAGAACAAAAUACACGGAUGGUUAAAUAGAUUGCCAGCAGCUCCUGGCUGAAGCAAAAUGAUUCUUCACUCCCUUCUUCAACAAGAUAAUAUACCCGCUACAAAUUGUGGCCAUUUAGUUAACAUUUCCUUUCAUCAGCAAAUAAAGCACAUGGGGGAAAAGUGUUCGGGAAAGGGAUUGGGGUCAGCCAUGGUGAUAAAAAAGCAUUGUGAUGGAGGGCAGUAAAUUACGUGGAUAAUGUGGAGAGGAGCUCACCGUAGCAAUCCAUAAUACAUCCUGUUUUACAUAUUCCCUCUCCCUAUAAGUCAACAGGUGGAUGGGCUUGUCAUCAAACUGCAAUUCUGAGGAGAUGGCAAAGGCAUCAUUAUCAGACAUUAGCACCGCCACACAGACAGAUACACGCUCCAGGUCAAGCAUGCUUCCGCACACCAUUUUCUACAGGACCUGUGAUUAGCUUCACAAGGCUGAAGUAAUAUUAAUGCAGCCAGAAAGGACCCUGACAUUGUCUGGCAAAUGAAAGCAAGUCCUGAAGGUGAUGGGUAUGCCUCCCUCAGUCGCACAUCCGCACGUCAUCUGUUGGAAUCAAAAUAUUCGCAAUGGGGCAUAUUUUACCUUCUUUUUAGUCACUGCAGGGUGUCACAGUAGCAUAGCAGUUAGCACAACACUUUUUCAGUGCCAGCGAUCAGGGGUUCAAUUCCCAUCGCUGCCUGUACGGAGUCUGGGUAUUCUCCAUGAAAAUCUGCCAGUUUCCUCGGGCUGCUCCAGUUUAUUGCCAUAGUCAAAAGACAAACACGCCUGCGUUGGUGACCCCAGCACAUCCUUGGACUUUGUUGGUUGUUGAUGUAAAUGACAUAUUUUGCUGCAAGUUUUGAUGUACACGUGACAAAUAAAGUUAAUCUUUAAUUGCUGAAACUUGCAACAGUGUUAUUGAGUGCUCACUGGGGUCGUUAUGGGUAGGAUGUUCCUCUUGGCUGAGGAACCCAGAACAAGGGUUGGACUGAGAGGAGCAGAAACCUCAUUACAAGGGUAGUGAAUCUGUGGCACAUAGAACAUUACAGCACAGUACAGGCCCUUUGGCCCACAAUGUUUUGCCAGCCUUUUAACCUACUCUAAGAUCUUACCUCUGCCAUCUCCCCCAUACUUUCCUCCCAUCAUCUUAAAAAUAGCUACUUCCACCCUGAGAAGUCAUUUCUGGCUGACCAUUCAAAUUUAUUAAUACACCUUUAUCAAACCACCUCUCAUCAGUCAAUGAAGGUGAAUGAGCAAGUGCAACAGGCAGUGAAGAGGGCAAAUGGAAUGUUGGUCUUUAUUACAAGGGGAAUUGAGUACAAGAGCAAGGAUGUCCUUUUGCAUUUGUACAGGGCCCUGGUGAGACCACACCUGGAAUAUUGUGUACAGUUUUGGUCUCCAGGUUUAAGGAAGGACAUUCUGGCAAUUGAGGAAGUGCAGCAAAGAUUCACUAGGUUGAUUCCUGGGAUGGCAGGGCUGUCUUACACAGAGAGAUUGGAGAGAUUGGGCUUGUACACACUGGAAUUGAGGAGAUUGAGAGGGGAUCUGAUGGAAACGUUUAAGAUAAUUAAAGGAUUUGAUAGGAUUGAGGCAGGAAAUAUGUUCCAGAUGUUGGGAGAGUCCAGUACCAGAGGGCAUGGAUUGAGAAUAAGAAGUCAGUUAUUUAAAACAGAGUUGAGGAAGAGCUUCUUCUCCCAGAGAGUUGUGGAGGUGUGGAAUGCACUGCCUCGGAAGACGGUGGAGGCCAAUUCUCUGGAUGCUUUCAAGAAGGAGCUAGAUAGAUAUCUGAUGGAUAGGGGAGUCAAGGGAUAUGGGGACAAGGCAGGGACUGGGUAUUGAUAGUGAAUGAUCAGCCAUGAUCUCAGAAUGGCAGCGCAGACUCGAGGGGCCGAAUGGUCUACUUCUGCACCUAUUGUCUAUUGUCUUUUGCUCCAGAACAAAAAGAUUCAAAGGUUUGUUAUCAAAGCAUAUAACUCUGAAAAUCUUCUUCUCCAGAGAGCCACAAAAUGAAGAAAGAACAGAACGGCAGUACGAUCAUCAACCCCCAAAUACCCCUCCCCACACAGAAAAAGGAAUCAAAAUAGAACAGACAGAUCGACCCCCUAUCCUCCGCCCCCCGCACACAAAAAAAACGAGAAAGAUCAGGUGAAAAGCAGAGAAUACAAAAAAACCAUAAGACUAAAAAAAAUUCCACAGUCCAAGUCCUCAUCCAAAACGCAGAAAACCUGGGCAAAAUUCUCCCUCUCCAUAGCAGACCCAUCUCACUAGCGAUAAAUAGACAGUCUCGCCUCUCCAGCAGCACAGCGAUCCCCCAACAAUAAAGCUUUGGACACUACCUCACUUUUUCUAAUAUACAAUAUUUCUGUUUUUGCACAUUUUUAAAAUAAUCUAUUCAAGAUAUGUAAUUGAUUUACUUGUUAAUUUAUUAUGUUUUAUUUUUUUCUCUCUCUCUCUGCUAGAUUGUGUACUGUGUUGAACUGCUGCUGCUAGGUUAACAAAUUUCACAUCACAUGCCGGUGAUAAUAAACCUGAUUCUGAUUCUGCAAAAAAUAAUGCAGGCAGUUGGCAUUUCAAUCUCUCUCCUCACUUUAAUCAGCGAACAAUGCAAGCUUUAUUUGGCAAAAUGGAGUCGCCAUCAGCUUGCAGCCUUCUCACCACGAGAUUACCACACUCUACCUCUGUCCCCUGGAUCUCUCUUGGAGAUUGCAGAACCCCAGUGAUCUCCAAACUGCAAAUCACAGGCUCCAACAUUUCCAAAGUCAUGCUCAAAACAAAUGUAAACAAAAUGAAAGAAGUGAAAUAUCUGGUUUCCUGAUCUAUCCAGAAGAUGUCAGCCGAAGGAGCAUUGUACACAGGUGCCAUCUUGAGUGGAAGGUGGCCUGAGCUCACUCAACCUCUCUUCAUAAAUCAUGCUCUCCAAACCAGGCAGAAAGUGGGAUUCUCCUGCCUAGCAGGCUGUGGAGGCAUGCUCUUUGGUUGGAGUGACCGAAAGAGUUUUUUUUAGAUAUUAAAGGAAUCAAGGGUAUGAGUAAUGUGCAGGAACAAAAGUGCUGAGGUCAUCAGCCCUGGCUAAUAGAAGAGGAUCAAGAAUUUUAUAGAUACGUGAAAAGAAAAAGAUUGGUCAAGACAAAUGUAGGUCCCUUACAGUCAGAAACAGGUGAAUUGAUCAUAGGGAACAAAGACAUGGCAGACCAAUUGAAUAACUACUUUGGAUCUGUCUUCACUAAGGAGGACAUAAGUAAUCUUCCGGAAAUAGUAAGGGACUGAGGGUCUAGUGAGACGGAGGAACUGAGGGAAAUACAUGUUAGUAGGGAAGUGGUGUUAGGUAAAUUGAAGGGAUUAAAGGCAGAUAAAUCCCCAGGGCCAGAUGGUCAGCAUACCAGAGUGCUUAAGGAAUUAGCCCAAGAAAUAGUGGAUGCAUUAGUGAUAAUUUUUCAAAACUCCUUAGAUUCUGGAUUAGUUCCUGAGGAUUGGAGGGGGGCUAAUGUAACCUCACUUUUUAAAAAAAGAGGGAGAGAAAAACGGGGAAUUAUAGACCGGUGAGUCUGACAUCGGUGGUGGGAAAAUGCUAGAGUCAGUUAUCAAAGAUGUGAUAACAGCACAUUUGGAAAGAGGUGAAAUCAUCGGACAAAGUCAGCAUGGAUUUGUGAAAGGAAAAUCAUGUCUGACAAAUCUUAUAGAAUUUUUUGAGGAUGUAACUAGUAGAGUGGAUAGGGGAGAGCCAGUGGAUGUGGUAUAUUUAGAUUUUCAAAGGUCCCACACAGGAGAUUAGUGUGCAAACUUAAAGCACACAGUAUUGGGGGUAUGGUAUUGAUGUGGAUAGAGAAUUGGUUGGCAGACAGGAAGCAAAGAGUGGGAGUAAAUGGGACCUUUUCAGAAUGGCAGGCAGUGACUAGUGGGGUACCGCAAGGCUCAGUGCUGGGACCCCAGUUGUUUACAAUAAUGAUUUAGUCGAGGGAAUUAAAUGCAGCAUUUCCAAGUUUGCGGAUGACACAAAGCUGGGCGGCAGUGUUAGCUGUGAGGUGGAUGCUAAGAGGAUGCAGGGUGACUUGGAUAGGUUAGGUGAGUGGGCAAAUUCAUGGCAGAUGCAAUUUAAUGUGGAUAAAUGUGAGGUUAUCCACUCUGGUUGCAAGAACAGGAAAACAGAUUAUUAUCUGAAUGGUGGCUGAUUGGGAAAAGGGGAGGUGCAACGAGACCUGGGUGUCAUUGUACACCAGUCAUUGAAGGUGGGCAUGCAGGUACAGCAGGUGGUGAAAAAGGCAAAUGGUAUGUUGGCAUUCAUAGCAAAAGGAUUUGAGUACAGGAGCAGGGAGGUUCUACUGCAGUUGUACAAGGUCUUGGUGAGACCGCACCUAGAGUAUUGUGUGCAGUUUUGGUCCCCUAAUCUGAGGAAAGACAUUCUUGCCAUAGAUGGAGUACAAAGAAGGUUCACCAGAUUGAUUCCUGGGAUGGCAGGACUUUCAUAUGAAGAAAGACCGGAUCGACUGGGCUUAUGCUCGCUGGAAUUUAGAAGAUUGAGGGGGAUCUUAUUGAAACAUAUAAAAUUCUAAAGGGAUUGGACAGGCUAGAUACAGGAAGAUUGUUUCCGAUGUUGGGGAAGUCCAGAACGAGGGGUCAUAGUUUAAGGAUAAAGGGGAAGCCUUUUCGGACCGAGAUGAGGAGAAACUUCUUCACACAGAGAGUGGUGAAUCUGUGGAAUUCUCUGCCACAGGAAACAGUUGAGGCCGGUUCAUUGGCUAUAUUUAAGAGGAAGUUAGACAUGGCCCUUGUGGCUAAAGGGAUCGGGGGUAUGGAGAGAAAGCAGGUACAGGGUUCUGAGUUGGAUGAUCAGCCAUGAUCAUACUGAAUGGCGGUGCAGGCUCGAAGGGCUGAAUGGCCUAUUCCUGCACCUAUUUUCUAUGUUUCUAUGCUUCUAAGAAGAAUGGUCAAAGAAGUGGCAGAUGGAAUACUUUACUUUAUUGUCACCAAAUUGAUACUAGAGUGUAUAAUCAUCACAGUGAUAUUUGAUUCUGUGCUUCAUGCUCCCUGAAGUACAAAUUGAAUUAAAUAUAAUAAAAAUUUAAAUUAUAAAUCAUAAUUAGAAAAUAGAAAAGGGAAAGUAAAGUAGUGCAAGUCAGGUCCGGAUAUUUGGAAGGUACGGCUCAGAUCCGGGUCAGGAUCUGUUUAGCAGUCUAAUCACAGUUGGAAAGAAGCUGUUCCCAAAUCUGGCCGUACGAAUCUUCAAGCUCCUGAACCUUUUCCUGGAGGGAAGAGGGACAAAAGGUGUGUUGGCUGGAAGGGUCAUGUCUUUGAUUACCCUGGCAGCACUGUUCCAACAGCGUGCUGUGUAAAGUGAGUCCAAGGAUGGAAGAUUGGUUUGUGUGAUGCGCUGGGCUAUGUUCAAGAUCUUCUGCAGCUUCUUCCGGUCUUGGACAGGACAACUUCCAUACCAGGUUGUGAUGCACCCUAGAAGAAUGCUUUUUACGGUGCAUCUAUAAAAAUUAGUGAGGGUUUUAGGGGACAGGCCAAAUUUCUUCAGCUGUCUCAGGAAGUAAAGGUGCUGGUGGGCCUUCUUGGCAGUGGACUCUGCUUGGUUAGACCAAGUCAGGUCAUUUGUGAUAUUCACCCUGAGGAAUUUAAAGCUCUUGACCACCUGCGCGCCACUGAUGUAGAUGGGGUCAUGUGGUCCGCUACUCCUUCUGAAGUCAACAACCAAUUCCUUCGCCUUGCUGACGUUGAGGGAUAGGUUAUGCGAUAGGUCAUGCCAUCAGGUUGGAGGCUAACCAGACUGAAUAUAAGGUGUUGCUCCGCCAACCUGAGUGUGGCCUCAUCACGACAGUAGGAGAGGCCAUGGACUGACAUAUCAGGAAGUGGAAUUAAAAUGGGUAGCUACUGGGAGAUCCCACUUUUUCUGGCAGAGUGUAGGUGCUUGGCAAAGUGGUUUCACAAUCUGCUUUGGAUCUCACUAAUAUAGAGGAGUUCAUACAGUGAGGCCCGGAUACAAUGGCUGACCCAAGCAUACUCACAGGUGAAGUGUAGCCUCACCUGGAAGCUACACUUCAGGGUCCUGAAUGGAAGUGAGGGAGGAGAUGUAGCACUUGUUCCGCUUGCAGGGAUAAGUGCCAUUGGGAGAUCAGUGGGAAAGGACGACUGGACAAGGGAGUUUCGUAGGGAGCGAUCCCAGCAGAAAGUGUGGGGGGGGGGGUUGAUGGGAGGGAAAGAUGAGCUUGGUGGGUGGAUCCCGCUGGAGACUGUGGAAUUUACAGAGAAUUAUGAGCUGGACACGGUGGCUGGUGGGGUGGUAGGUGAGGACAAGAGGAACCUUAUCCCUGGUGGGGUGUCAGGAGGAUGGGGUAGAGGACAGACGUGUGCAAAAUAGAACAGAUAUAGUUGAGGGCAGCGGUGAUGGAAGGGAAGCCCCUUUCUUUGAAGAAGGACAUCUCCUUAGUUCAUCCUGAGAGCAGAUGUGGCAGAGAUGAAGAAUUGAGAAUUGGGAUGGUGUUUCUACAAGUAAUCUGGGUGGGAAGAGGUAUAGUCCGUGGGUUUACAAUAGACAUCAAUGGAUAAGCAGCCUUCAGAGAGAGAGAAAUUGAGAAAGGGGAUGGUGGUGUCGAAAUGGACCACAUAAAUUUGAGGGUGGGGUGCAAGUUGGAGGCAAGGUUCCUCAUGAGUGCAGGAAGCAGCUCCAAUGAAGUCGUCAACGUAGUGUAGGAGAAGUAGGGGAGUGACACCAAUGACUGUUUCAUGUAGUGGAUAAACAGGCAGGCUUAGCUGGGACCCAUGCGAGUGCCCAUGGCUACACAUUUUGCUUGAAGGCAGUGAGAGGAGCCAAAGGAAAAAUUAUUUAGAAUAACAACAAGUCUUGCAAGAUGGUGGGGAGUGGUGGUGGAGGGGAACUGGUUGGGCCUGGUGUCCAGAAAAAAAAAGGAGAGCUUUGAGGACUUCCUGGUGGGGGAUGGAGGUGUACAGGAACUGGACAUCCAUGGUGAAAAUAAGAUGAUUAGGGCCAGGGAACUUGAAAUCAUUGAAAAGAUGCAGAGUGUGCGAAGUUUCGUAGAUGUAGGUAUGAAGGAACUGAACGGGGGGGGGGGGGAAGUAAUAAAA